UCCCAGGUAGCUCAGCUGUAAAGAAUCUGCCUGCAAUACAAGAGCUGCAGGAGCCACAGUUUCAAUCCCUGUCUUGGGAA
rnacentral:tRNA from 1 species